AUUGAACGCUGGCGGCAGGCCUAACACAUGCAAGUCGAGCGGAUGAAGGGAGCUUGCUCCUGGAUUCAGCGGCGGACGGGUGAGUAAUGCCUAGGAAUCUGCCUGGUAGUGGGGGAUAACGUCCGGAAACGGGCGCUAAUACCGCAUACGUCCUGAGGGAGAAAGUGGGGGAUCUUCGGACCUCACGCUAUCAGAUGAGCCUAGGUCGGAUUAGCUAGUUGGUGGGGUAAAGGCCUACCAAGGCGACGAUCCGUAACUGGUCUGAGAGGAUGAUCAGUCACACUGGAACUGAGACACGGUCCAGACUCCUACGGGAGGCAGCAGUGGGGAAUAUUGGACAAUGGGCGAAAGCCCGAUCCAGCCAUGCCGCGUGUGUGAAGAAGGCCUUCGGAUUGUAAAGCACUUUAAGUUGGGAGGAAGGGCAGUAAGUUAAUACCUUGCUGUUUUGACGUUACCAACAGAAUAAGCACCGGCUAACUUCGUG
rnacentral:rRNA from 1 species